UUAGACACAGCAGGUCUGACACUGUGUGAGACGUCUAUUAGUUAGACACAGCAGGUCUGACACUGUGUGAGACGUCUAUUAGUUAGACACAGCAGGUCUGACACUGUGUGAGACGUCUAUUAGUUAGACACAGCAGGUCUGACACUGUGUGAGACGUCUAUUAGUUAGACACAGCAGGUCUGACACUGUGUGAGACGUCUAUUAGUUAGACACAGCAGGUCUGACACUGUGUGAGACGUCUAUUAGUUAGACACAGCAGGUCUGACACUGUGUGAGACGUCUAUUAGUUAGACACAGCAGGUCUGACACUGUGUGAGACGUCUAUUAGUUAGACACAGCAGGUCUGACACUGUGUGAGACGUCUAUUAGUUAGACACAGCAGGUCUGACACUGUGUGAGACGUCUAUUAGUUAGACACAGCAGGUCUGACACUGUGUGAGACGUCUAUUAGUUAGACACAGCAGGUCUGACACUGUGUGAGACGUCUAUUAGUUAGACACAGCAGGUCUGACACUGUGUGAGACGUCUAUUAGUUAGACACAGCAGGUCUGACACUGUGUGAGACGUCUAUUAGUUAGACACAGCAGGUCUGACACUGUGUGAGACGUCUAUUAGUUAGACACAGCAGGUCUGACACUGUGUGAGACGUCUAUUAGUUAGACACAGCAGGUCUGACACUGUGUGAGACGUCUAUUAGUUAGACACAGCAGGUCUGACACUGUGUGAGACGUCUAUUAGUUAGACACAGCAGGUCUGACACUGUGUGAGACGUCUAUUAGUUAGACACAGCAGGUCUGACACUGUGUGAGACGUCUAUUAGUUAGACACAGCAGGUCUGACACUGUGUGAGACGUCUAUUAGUUAGACACAGCAGG